UAUCGAUAGCAUCAAAUAUAGACAGAUCGACCCAAAGCACAUAAAAGUCAAUAUGUACAUAGAAUUGCAAAAGCAUUGCACGGAUACAAUCACACAUACAUACAUACAUGCACACGCAGCACUCUCACGUACAGCAAAACGUGCAUCAUACCUGUAGAAGGAUAAGGCUUUAGCAUUAGCAAUGAAUUAAAAUCGUGCAGCGAACUUCGAUUGCUCCAUUUUCGGAGGAGAAGGGACAAAGAACUCAUCCAGUUCGUUCUUUUGUUUACCUUUCAUCAUCUCAUCCAUUGUCUCGCGUCUGUCUCCCUAUAGGGAUUCUAGCCGCUGUGGUGAAGGCUAACCAUUGAGUGUUAUACGUUGUUCUCUGCUAAGAAAGGUGAUGUCCGCAUUCAAAUGAUGAGCGCAGAAACAACGUUCCGGCAUCAAUCAUCAACUAUCAUGAAGCUGCUGUCGGGGUGUCGUGCUGGCUGACCGCGUCGAGUGCGUAGCGUAGCCAACCCACAACUUGCGAUCUAGUGAUGUGUUUAGAGGCACCAUUCUUUGGCCCACUUUCAACAAACAAAUACCACAUGGCGACUCUGGCUUCUGGAAAUCUAUAAAUGUGUGUGUUGUGUAUGUGUGUAUGCGUGCACAAAUGUUUGUUUUGCAUUUUCGAGCAACUCUCGCUUUUUGGGGCCUCUUGGGCUGCCAAUGUUGACAGAACGAAGGUUCAUGUGCAAUGCUGAGUGACAAACGCAACUAGCUGACUCACAACAUACUAAAGUAGCAUCCACUGCGAAAGCUCGACGCGACAAACGAACGUUCAAUACAGGAGCGUGCAAUGUUCAUAGAAAACAACGAGGCUGGGUAAAGGGCAGUCAUCGCUCGCUACCCGCUCGUGACGUACUCUUCGCUUGAUUGUCAGACGAAGCUUUGCAUCCGUUGUCCUUCUGAUGCCGUCAACUUUAGGCGCGUGAAUUUACAACUUAAAUGAGGGCCCGCCUGUCGGCAUGCUCUUCUCUUCGUUUCGGGUAACAGGUAAUGACGGACCAUCACAUGUGUCGCGGCCCCUUUCACCAAGCGUACGUCGUGGUGCGCUUCCCCUCGAAACGGCCAGUACUCAGCCACACCUUUUUCCCCAUUAGACCACAUUGCAGUCGCUAUUAAAAAGACGCAGUGACACUGACGAGUCUGAUUGUGCGGGCGGAGAACCUAUCCUCAGCGGCUAUAGUGUGAUGGGUGUUUGCAAACCAUAACAGAAGCAAAGCAGUAUUACAAAAGUGAACAUUAAGACAGCACCCCGAAAACGCAGCUUUCGCGCUACUUCAGGGAAUCCUUCCUGUGGAUGCAUCGUUCCAUAUUAGGCGUUAUCGUUAUUUUGGAUCAGGCAAAGGAAAUGUAACUUCGAAGUUAGAAUUCCACAACGAUGAAGAUUUUCAUUUCGAAAACGGUACAAGUGUACAUGCCUGGAAGACAGUUCCUUGAUACGAGCGAGAAUGCAAGUAACAAAUAUGAACAGUGUUUCGAAAGUUAGCAAAGAAAGGAAUAAGCUAAAGUACUUCGGCAUGGAAGCUCAGACUAUGUUUCUCCAACCUAGGCUACUCAUCCCGUGUACAGUGCUACAGGUAACCAUUCAUUAAAGGAAUUUAAGAGAUAAUCGACCCGUGAUCAUAUCUGCCGCGCCUUUGAUCAAUUGUACUUCUUACAAUAGGAUCUACUAAGAAUGGACACGCUGUAAUCAUGGCAUCAAAUACUGGCUAGGAGUCAACUGUGUGAUGGAACUAUGUUUAACGACAACAACGGAAAAAACGGUAGAACUCAAAGCACAGAGGUUAUUAAACCUAAAAUCUUCUACUUAAAUAGCGCUAAUUUAUUUAGAUUUAUAGGAUUGACCAAAUUCUUUACGAGUGCAUGUGUGUAGUUAAAGUAAACAAUUGAUUGGCAUAUAACAGCAGCAUAUGUAUUACUAUAUGUAUCUGUCCGUCUUGUCUAGGAUAUAAUCCUUCGAGAUCACAUGUCUCAAAGAUAUUUUUAAAACAAUAAUAAAAUGAAAAAAUCAUUUUAUAAUAAAAUAUAAAAUAAAAAUAAAAUAUAAAAAUGUUUCAUUUACUUUAUAAUAACGAAAUACUAUAUUGAUUUUGUCUACCACAAAAGAGGCUCUUAAACGAUGCUCAUUUUAUCAUCAGCCACAACAUAUAUUUGCUACUAUUUUAUAGAACAAAACAUGAUUUUUUAUUUGUCUUAAAUACCGGCACGUCUUAAUUUGUUUCACUUGAUCACCGUUUCGUGGGGGGUGCCAACUUGAACAAAAAAUAGUAGCAAUUUAUUUAUUUAUAUAUUAGCAAUGAUUUUUUUAGUCAGCUGAAUCAAAAUACCAACGUUUACGAUUAUAGAUAACAAUUACUAAUAAAAU